rnacentral:sRNA from 1 species
UGCCACCGCCUGACAAUGCCAACUCGUGGAGCUCUUUAUAAUGCCGGAGCCGGGCACCACCUCGUAACAACGAAUGCUUUCAUUGGCUAAGCAAACCCAGCCUCCCAGAAGAGGAGAAUGAGACGCAGGAAGUCCCUAAAUCCAAGGUCGCCCGGAGGAAGGAGCCUAAUCUUGGCUUCCGAGAUAAGGAGUGCUCGGAUCAUCCGAGGCCUUCAGCGCGGCCUGCUCCCAAACCUCGGCAUCCUGAGAUACCGGUGCUCCUGCCCUCUCUUAAGUGAUCCUGGCUGGUGCCAUGUGUGGAGGUCUGGCGCCGUGAAUAUUGGACCGUGGUAUUCCCAGUGCAGAUACUUAACAUCGCGUUUAAAGUGUAUUUCUUUACUUUGAUUCCGUUUUGUGUUUUGUAAAACGGUCCAGUAUCCUCCGACUGGCCUUGAACUCAUAAUCCUCCAUUUUCACCCCCUCAGUGUUGGAAUUAUAUGCUUCACCACCACCA